GGACUACAGGGGUAUCUAAUCCCAUUCGCUCCCCACGCUUUCGUCCUAGCAGUGUCAGGUGGCACCCAGUGCUCUGCCUUCGCUUUCGGUGUUCCGAAUGAUAUCAACGCAUUUCACUACUACACCAUUCGUUCCAAGCACCUCUUUGCCCCUCUAGUCGUGAAGUAUUUUGAGCAAACGCAGAAGUUGAGCUUCUGGCUUUUACCCAAAACUAUCAUGACCACCUAUCGGCACGCUUUACGCCCAAUGAUUCCGGAUAACGCUUGAGGUCUCUGUAUUACCGCGGCUGCUGGCAC
rnacentral:rRNA from 1 species